UACGUAGGGCGCAAGCGUUAUCCGGGAAUUAUUGGGCGUAAAGAGCUCGUAGGCGGUUUGUCGCGUCUGCCGUGAAAGUCCGGGGCUCAACUCCGGAUCUGCGGUGGGUACGGGCAGACUAGAGUGAUGUAGGGGAGACUGGAAUUCCUGGUGUAGCGGUGAAAUGCGCAGAUAUCAGGAGGAACACCGAUGGCGAAGGCAGGUCUCUGGGCAACAACUGACGCUGAGGAGCGAAAGCGUGGGGAGCGAACAGG
rnacentral:rRNA from 1 species